AACGAACGCUGGCGGCGUGCCUAACACAUGCAAGUCGAGCGAAGUGAGUACUACGGUACGAACUUAGCGGCGGACGGGUGAGUAACGCGUGGACAAUCUACCCUGUAGACUGGGAUAACACCUCGAAAGGGGUGCUAGUACCGGAUAAUGUCGAGAAGCGGCAUCGCUUUUCGAAGAAAGGAGAGAAUCCGCUAUAGGAGGAGUCCGCGUCCCAUUAGCUAGGUGGUGAGGGUAACGGCCCACCAAGGCGACGAUGGGUAGCCGGCCUGAGAGGGUGAACGGCCACAGUGGAACUGAGACACGGUCCAGACUCCUACGGGAGGCAGCAGUGGGGAAUAUUGUGCAAUGGGGGAAACCCUGACACAGCAACGCCGCUUGAGCGAAGAAGGCCUUCGGGUUGUAAAGCUCAAUAGUAUGGGAAGAUAAUGACGGUACCAUACGAAAGCCCCGGCUAACUACGUGCCAGCCGCCGCCGUAAUAC
rnacentral:rRNA from 1 species